rnacentral:miRNA from 1 species
AUUACUGAGAGAUGUCAUCACA